UACGUAGGGUGCGAGCGUUGUCCGGAAUUAUUGGGCGUAAAGGGCUCGUAGGCGGUCUGUUGCGUCAGGAGUGAAAACUCGGGGCUUAACCCCGAGCCUGCUUUCUGAUACGGGCAGACUAGAGGUAUGCAGGGGGAGAACGGAAUUCCUGGUGUAGCGGUGAAAUGCGCAGAUAUCAGGAGGAACACCGAUGGCGAAGGCAGGGUCUCUGGGCCACUACUGACUGAGA
rnacentral:rRNA from 1 species